rnacentral:rRNA from 1 species
UACGGAGGGAGCUAGCGUUGUUCGGAAUUACUGGGCGUAAAGCGCACGUAGGCGGCUUUGUAAGUUAGAGGUGAAGGCCUGGGGCUCAACUCCAGAACUGCCUUUAAAACUGCAUCGCUUGAAUCCAGGAGAGGUGAGUGGAAUUCCGAGUGUAGAGGUGAAAUUCGUAGAUAUUCGGAAGAACACCAGUGGCGAAGGCGGCUCACUGGACUGGUAUUGACGCUGAGGUGCGAAAGCGUGGGGAGCAAACAGG